rnacentral:lncRNA from 10 species
GGGAGCCGUGGCACUGCCGGCCCCCGGCCACACUUCCUGGGAGGCGUGUGAGGCAGGGAGGGUCGGUCCCUAAGGACUGAGGGCAUGGAUGUGACUCCACGCAUCUGCGAAACCCACAGCCCCAUCUGCCACAGAGGGAACCUCGCGACACAAAAACAAAGUGACCCUCCAUGCUGGGGAACCCAGGACAUGCUGAACUCACAGCCCCAUCUGCCACAGAGGGAACCUCGCGACCCAAAAGCAAAGUGACCCUCGAUGCUGGGGAACCCAGGACAUGCUGAACCCACAGCCCCAUCUGCCACAGAGGGAACCUCGCGACCCAAAAACAAAGUGACCCUCGAUGUUGGGGAACCCAGGACAUGCUGAUCUCACAGCCCCAUCUGCCACAGAGGGAACCUCGCGACACAAAAACAAAGUGACCCUCGAUGCUGGGGAACCCAGGACAUGCUGAACCCACAGCCCCAUCUGCCACAGAGGGAACCUCGUGACCCAAAAACAAAGUGACCCUCGAUGCUGGGGAACCCAGGACAUGCUGAACCCACAGCCCCAUCUGCCACAGAGGGAACCUCGCGACCCAAAAACAAAGUGACCCUCGAUGCUGGGGAACCCAGGACAUUCUGAACCCACAGCCCCAUCUGCCACAGAGGGAACCUCGCGACCCAAAAACAAAGUGACCCUCGAUGCUGGGGAACCCAGGACAUGCUGAACCCACAGCCCCAUCUGCCACAGAGGGAACCUCGCGACCCAAAAACAAAGUGACCCUCGAUGCUGGGGAACCCAGGACAUGCUGAACCCACAGCCCCAUCUGCCACAGAGGGAACCUCGCGACCCAAAAACAAAGUGACCCUCGAUGUUGGGGAACCCAGGACAUGCUGAUCUCACAGCCCCAUCUGCCACAGAGGGAACCUCGCGACACAAAAACAAAGUGACCCUCGAUGCUGGGGAACCCAGGACAUGCUGAACCCACAGCCCCAUCUGCCACAGAGGGAACCUCGUGACCCAAAAACAAAGUGACCCUCGAUGCUGGGGAACCCAGGACAUUCUGAACCCACAGCCCCCAUCUGCCACAGAGGGAACCUCGCGACCCAAAAACAAAGUGACCCUCGAUGCUGGGGAACCCAGGACAUGCUGAACCCACAGCCCCAUCUGCCACAGAGGGAACCUCGCGACACAAAAACAAAGUGACCCUCGAUGCUGGGGAACCCAGGACAUGCUGAACCCACAGCCCCAUCUGCCACAGAGGGAACCUCGCGACCCAAAAACAAAGUGACCCUCGAUGCUGGGGAACCCAGGACAUGCUGAACCCACAGCCCCAUCUGCCACAGAGGGAACCUCACGAUACAAAAACAAAGUUACCCUCGAUGUUGGGGAACCCAGGACAUGCUGAUCUCACAGGAUGGCGACUGCAUGGCGCAGCCGCGUGGAAGGAGGCAGAAGAAGGGGAGCUGGCCUAGGUGACGCUUGAUAGCAGGUAUUUCAACAAGGAAGAGGUGGACAGGAGACGGGGAGCUGGCCUCGGUGAUGCUCGAAAGCAGAUGUUUCAACAAGGAAGAGCUGGAGGGCCCAGAGGCUGAGGCAGCCCUGUAGCAACAGGCACACCCAGCGCCCAGACCCCGGGCUCUAAACCUCACGCUCCUAGAACUCGAUUGGGCUCCCUGGAGCAAUGGCUGUGAGCACAAGGCUGGGCCUGGGUAGCAGAAGAUGAGGCAGCAGCGCCUGGGAGCAGAAAACAAGACGGGGCCGGGCGUGGCAGCUCACGCCUGUAAUCCCAGGAGGGAGGCCUGUAAUUUGGGAGGCGGGUGGAUCACCUGAGGUCAGGAGUUCAAGACCAGCCUGGCCAAGAUGGUGAAACCCCGUCUCUACUAAAAAUACAAAAAUUAGCCGGGCCUGGUGGUGCUUGCCUGUAAUCCUAGCCACGAGGGAGGCUGAGACAGGAGAAUUGCUUGAACCCGGGAGGCGGAGGCUGCAGUGAGCCGAGAUUGUGCCAGUGUACUCCAGCCUGGGUGACAGAGCAAGACUCCAUCUCAAAAAAAAAAAAAAAAAAAAAAAGGGUUCUUGCUAUGUUGACCAGAGUGGUUUCAAACUCCUGGCCUCAAGGGAUGCUCCUGCCUCAGCCUCCCAAAGUGCUGGCAUCACAGGCGUGAACCACCAUGCCCAGCCAAAUACGGGGAGAUGAUGUAACAGUGUGUGGCCGGAGGGGCCAGGACCCACUCAGCAGAGGGGAGGCCCAGGGUCUGCGGAUGACAGAAUUCUUGGAAAGCAGCCAGUAACAAAUGGCAGCUGUCCUUGAUGGGAAUCCCAGCUGACAGACACACAGAGACAGCAGAGAGAAAGUCUGUUUCGUAAAACCACAAGGCUGACCCCACACAGCCCACCAGUGCCAACAGGCUGGGUGCCACUGUGGGGCAGGUGGGACGCCCCUGAGCCGGCCACGUGCACAAAUGUGACUCCCCAUCUCAGACCGCAGGGUGCUGUGUGCCUUGAGCAGACCUGCAGCACCAGGACAGCCACGCAAAUCCAGUCUCACGGCGUCAGCAACGCUACCGGCCUCCCUCCGGAACUUCCCAAGAGACAGGAGAGGCGGGGGCGGCUUAGACCCAAGACAAGAGACUAGAGCAAACAUCAGACCAGAUCCCGUCUGAAAACCAAAUGGCCACAAAGAAGGGUGCUGAGGCCGGGGCUGUUUGAAUGCAGAGGACACGUUUGACGAUGGCACUGCCAGGAGACGGGACCACGGGUGUGGGGCUGUGGGCUCAGACACCCUCACCCAGGAGACGCAUGCUCGAGGCAGCACUUGGGUGUGAGGCAUCACGGCCGACCCGCACGGGGCCCGGAGAGGACGCAGUGCUCCUUGUGUGACUCACAACUUUCCUGAAGGUUUGAAAUAUUUCAAGAUAGAAUACUGGGCAAAAAAGGAAAAGAGAACAGCAGAGCCUGGAGGGGGCCAGGCCGCCCCCGAGAGACAGGAUGCAGGUGAUGGCGCCUGGGUAGGAUGUGGAGCAGAGAGGAGGGACUGGAGGAGGCCAAGGCUAAGUCUAGGAGGGUGGACAGGAGUCUGGGGCAGGCGGGAAACACCCCCACGGGCAUCCACAAAGCCACAAAGCCCACUCCCACCCAAGCCACGUGCCCCUCACCAAUGCACAGGGCCGGGGGCAUCCCCAGGCACAGCAGGUACUGGUACAGCAGGAACAGCGCCAGGAAGAGGCAGUAGUUGGGCCAGAG